GACGGGGAGCGACUACAACGGGUGGAGCCUGCGGUUUAAGUUUAGGAUUCAACGCCGGAAAUCUCACCGGGGCGACAGCAAUAUGAAGGUCAGGCUGAAGACCUUACCCGAUUAGCUGAGAGGUGGUGCAUGGCCGUCGUCAGUUCGUACUGUGAAGCAUCCUGUUAAGUCAGGCAACGAGCGAGACCCACGUCCACAGUUGCCAGCAUACCCUCCGGGGUGAUGGGUACACUGUGGAGACCGCCGCUGCUAAAGCGGAGGAAGGAGUGGGCAACGGUAGGUCAGUAUGCCCCGAAUCUCCCGGGCUACACGCGGGCUACAAUGGUUGGUACAAUGGGCAUCUACCCCGAAAGGGGAAGGAAAUCUCUUAAAGCCAAUCGUAGUUCGGAUUGAGGGCUGCAACUCGCCCUCAUGAAGCUGGAAUCCGUAGUAAUCGCGUUUCAACAGAACGCGGUGAAUACGUCCCUGCUCCUU
rnacentral:rRNA from 1 species